UUAUCAAACACUAAACAAAAAUCUUCUCCCAACUUUCACUGCAUUUCACCUUCCUGAGUCGGGUGAACCAUCAUCAUAAGAGACCAGUCCCCUUCUACCAUCUGGGCUUCCUGAUGAUGACCUUGACUUCACUUUGCUCACCUGCUUUGGAGAAGACUGGGAGUUCAACAACGACCUUGAUUCUGAUCGGCUCCUGCUCGGUGAAGGGGAACUUCGCCUUCCAACCCUUGGAGAAUCAACUGCAAUAUGGCUGCGAACAGGGGUUCGACUUUGACUUGAGCUACGACUGUGAAUAGAGGUUCGACUUCGACUUGGACUACGGCUGCGGCCAUGACCACAUCGACGAUUUCUAUACCUC
rnacentral:lncRNA from 1 species